UCCAGGCACAGUGGUGCACACCUGUAGUCCCAGCUACGUGGGAGGCUGAGGAGAGAGGAUGGCUUGAGCCCAGGAGCUCUGGGUUGCAGUGUGCUCUGCACAUCAGGUGUCUGCACUAAGUUCAGCAUCAACAUGGUGACCUCCCAGGAGCAGGGGACCACGAGGUUGCCUAAGGAGGAGUGAACAAGCCCAGGUUGGAAAUGGGAGCAGGUCAAAACUCCUGUGACCAGUAGUGGGAUCACACCUGUGAAAAGCCACUGCACUCCAACCUGGGCAACAUAGUGAGAUCCCAUUUCA
rnacentral:SRP_RNA from 1 species